rnacentral:rRNA from 1 species
UACGUAGGUGGCGAGCGUUAUCCGGAAUGAUUGGGCGUAAAGGGAGCGUAGGCGGCCUGCUAAGUCUGGAGUGAAAGGUACCGGCUCAACCGGUACAGGCUCUGGAAACUGGCGGGCUAGAGAGCAGGAGGGGCAACUGGAAUUCCUAGUGUAGCGGUGGAAUGCGUAGAUAUUAGGAGGAACACCAGUGGCGAAGGCGAGUUGCUGGACUGUAACUGACACUGAGGCACGAAAGCGUGGGGAGCAAACAGG